rnacentral:rRNA from 1 species
AUUGAACGCUGGCGGCGUGCCUAACACAUGCAAGUCGAGCGGUAACAGGUGUAGCAAUACAUGCUGACGAGCGGCGGACGGGUGAGUAACGCUUGGGAAUCUGCCUGUUAGUGGGGGACAACCCGGGGAAACGUCGGGCUAAUACCGCAUACGCACUACGGUGGAAAGCCGGGGACCGCAAGGCCUGGCGCUAACAGAUGAGCCCAAGUCGGAUUAGCUAGUUGGUAGGGUAACGGCCUACCAAGGCGACGAUCCGUAACUGGUCUGAGAGGACGACCAGUCACACCGGAACUGAGACACGGUCCGGACUCCUACGGGAGGCAGCAGUGGGGAAUCUUGCGCAAUGGGCGAAAGCCUGACGCAGCGACGCCGCGUGAGGGAUGACGGCCUCGGUUGUAA